GAUGAAGAACGCAGCGAAAUGCGAUACUUGGUGUGAAUUGCAGAAUCCCGUGAACCAUCGAGUCUUUGAACGCAAGUUGCGCCCGAAGCCUCGGCUAAGGGCACGUCUGCCUGGGCGUCACGCAUCGCGUCUCCCCCAAACCGCCAAGGCGGAGGGGAAGGAAGAUGGCUUCCCGUGCCUCACCCGGCGCGGUUGGCCUAAAUUUGGAGCCCGCGGCACUUAGCUCUCGCGGCGAUAGGUGGUGAACAAGGCCUUGGCCGUGCAAACAACCCGCUGCGAAGCUCUAUGUCACGUGCGCUCGUCGGACCCUUUGAAGUUGCCUUCGGUGACUUAAAACCUUUGCGACCCCAGGUCAGGCGGGGCUACCCGCUGAAUUUAAGCAAAUCAAUAAGCGGAGGA
rnacentral:misc_RNA from 1 species